rnacentral:lncRNA from 1 species
AGAGUACAAGGGGAAACUUACAGCAAAAUUUUCACUGUUGAUAGCUUUCCUGGGGAAGACAACACAUGCACAAAUCCUGGUGUUAGGAAUAUUUUAAGCAUAUAUCUGCAAUAUUAUUCAUCCAGGACUGAAGUAAGUCCUGAUGCAGGAAAUGAGUGAGUUUCACAGCUUUCUGAGCCCCUACUUGACCCAGGAAGCCCAGCUGGCACCUCCUCUCAGUUCCACAUUUACAGUUUUGGAGGCUAGAAGUAAAGAAGUCAAGGUGUUGUAAGGGGAGUGCUGUCACUAAAACAGGUUAUUUGAUAAUUAUCAAGCACUGUUCCAAGAAUGAGGAUUUCAGUAUUAGGAAUUCAGGAGCAGUUUGGUUUGACAGUUCUGAUUCUAGGAUUUUCAUGAGGUUGGCGUCAGAUCUCAGCUGGAGCUGCAGGCAUCUGAUGGUUUGAAGUUGGAGGAUCCAUCCCCAAGGUACCUCACCAAAAGAUUGUCAAGUCUUCUACUCCUUAAGAUAGACAAGAUUGAUGAAAGACUGGAAAUGACUUUGCCUGGACCAUGAUUCAGCGACACUGUCCCUGUGGCAAGACUAUUGGCCAGGCUCAAACGCAGUGGCUGAUCCUCACUGACUCCUCUUCCUAAGGUUGUUGUACUAGGAGCAUCUCCUAACACUACACGGACACAAUUCAAUGACAAAAAUCAGAGAAGGAAAACAAAACAAAACUUCUGGAAUGCCUCUUCAUCUGUACUUAACAUCUGAAGCCUCUUCCACCUGAAUGAUGAAGAUGUCAAAUAUUCUCAGCCUCAAAUUAAUGUGUCAAGUACAUUGGAUUUGUAUCUUUGUGUUCUUUCCUAUCUUCUUAAAAAAUUGUGCUAAUUACAUUUUCAAAAAUUGUUGUUUUUCUAACAUAUUGGUUACAAUAUCAAUAUAUGUGGCUUAAUAAAAUAGUCUCUGAGAACAUGUGCUUUUCUGAAUGUGUCAGGUGGCAGCUUGCUUUUAACAAUAUUGUAAGUUUUUAUAAUCAGAUUUAAAUUGUGUUUAUCUAAAAUAUUUAUGAACAUUGAAUUUAUGGUGAACAAAGCAGAGUCUUCUUUCAAAUCGCAUGUAGUUAUGUUUCAAAUAUGUGAAAUUUUUGAAUACUUCAUUAAAAUUUUAUUUUAAUAGAACACAUUAAAU